rnacentral:rRNA from 1 species
AGUGAACGCUGGCGGUAGGCCUAACACAUGCAAGUCGAACGGCAGCACAGUAAGAGCUUGCUCUUACGGGUGGCGAGUGGCGGACGGGUGAGGAAUACAUCGGAAUCUACUUUUUCGUGGGGGAUAACGUAGGGAAACUUACGCUAAUACCGCAUACGACCUACGGGUGAAAGCAGGGGAUCUUCGGACCUUGCGCGAUUGAAUGAGCCGAUGUCGGAUUAGCUAGUUGGCGGGGUAAAGGCCCACCAAGGCGACGAUCCGUAGCUGGUCUGAGAGGAUGAUCAGCCACACUGGAACUGAGACACGGUCCAGACUCCUACGGGAGGCAGCAGUGGGGAAUAUUGGACAAUGGGCGCAAGCCUGAUCCAGCCAUACCGCGUGGGUGAAGAUGGCCUUCGGGUUGUAAAGCCCUUUUGUUGGGAAAGAAAAGCAGCAGGUUAAUACCCCGCUGUUCUGGCGGUACCCAAAGAAUAAGCACCGGCUAACUUCGUG